rnacentral:rRNA from 1 species
AACGAACGCUGGCGGCAGGCCUAACACAUGCAAGUCGAGCGAAGCCUUCGGGCUUAGCGGCGGACGGGUGAGUAACGCGCGGGAACGUGCCCUUUGCUACGGAAUAGCCCCGGGAAACUGGGAGUAAUACCGUAUGUGACCUUCGGGGGGAAGAUUUAUAGCCAAGGGAUCGGCCCGCGUUGGAUUAGGUAGUUGGUGGGGUAAUGGCCUACCAAGCCGACGAUCCAUAGCUGGUUUGAGAGGAUGAUCAGCCACACUGGGACUGAGACACGGCCCAGACUCCUACGGGAGGCAGCAGUGGGGAAUCUUAGACAAUGGGGGAAACCCUGAUCUAGCCAUGCCGCGUGAUCGAUGAAGGCCUUAGGGUUGUAAAGAUCUUUCAGUGGGGAAGAUAAUGACUGUACCCACAGAAGAAGCCCCGGCUAACUCCGUGCCAGCCGCCGCGGUAAUAC